rnacentral:rRNA from 1 species
CCCUUAGAUGUUCUGGGCUGCACGCGCGCUACACUGAAGAUAUCAACACGUUUUCCCUCCCUGAGAAGGGCGGGUAACCUUUUGAAUCAGCUUCGUGGUAGGGAUCGGGGCUUGCAAUUGUUCCCCGUGAACCAGGAAUUCCUAGUAGACGCGAGUCAUAAGCUCGCAUCGAUUAAGUCCCUGCCCUUUGUACACACCGCCCGUCGCUACUACCGAUUGAACGUUUUAGUGAGGCAUUUGGACCGACGCAUCUCAGUUUAACCGCUGGUUUGUGUUGGAAAGACUUCCAAACUUGAGCGUUUAGAGGAAGUAAAAGUCGUAACA